GCGGCAUGCCUUACACAUGCAAGUCGAACGGCAGCACGGGAGCAAUCCUGGUGGCGAGUGGCGAACGGGUGAGUAAUAUAUCGGAACGUGCCCAGUAGUGGGGGAUAGCCCGGCGAAAGCCGGAUUAAUACCGCAUGAGACCUGAGGGUGAAAGCGGGGGAUCGCAAGACCUCGCGCUACUGGAGCGGCCGAUAUCAGAUUAGCUAGUUGGUGGGGUAAAGGCCUACCAAGGCAACGAUCUGUAGUUGGUCUGAGAGGACGACCAGCCACACUGGGACUGAGACACGGCCCAGACUCCUACGGGAGGCAGCAGUGGGGAAUUUUGGACAAUGGGCGCAAGCCUGAUCCAGCAAUGCCGCGUGCAGGAAGAAGGCCUUCGGGUUGUAAACUGCUUUUGUCAGGGAAGAAAUCCUCUGGGUUAAUACCUCGGGGGGAUGACGGUACCUGAAGAAUAAGCACCGGCUAACUACGUGCCAGCAGCCGCGGUAAUACGUAGGGUGCGAGCGUUAAUCGGAAUUACUGGGCGUAAAGCGUGCGCAGGCGGCUUUGCAAGACAGAUGUGAAAUCCCCGGGCUCAACCUGGGAACUGCAUUUGUGACUGCAAGGCUAGAGUACGGCAGAGGGGGAUGGAAUUCCGCGUGUAGCAGUGAAAUGCGUAGAUAUGCGGAGGAACACCGAUGGCGAAGGCAAUCCCCUGGGCCUGUACUGACGCUCAUGCACGAAAGCGUGGGGAGCAAACAGGAUUAGAUACC
rnacentral:rRNA from 1 species